CCUACGGGUGGCAGCAGUGAGGAAUAUUGGUCAAUGGCCGGAAGGCUGAACCAGCCAUGCCGCGUGAAGGUCAGUGCCCUAUGGGCGUUAAACUUCUUUUGUGCGGGAGCAAUAAUGGUCACGUGUGGCCAGACGAGAGUACCGUACGAAUAAGCAUCGGCUAACUCCGUGCCAGCAGCCGCGGUAAUACGGGGGAUGCAAGCGUUAUCCGGAUUUAUUGGGUUUAAAGGGUGCGUAGGCUGUGAGGUAAGUCAGCGGUGAAAUGCCCCCGCUCACCGGGGUGAAGUGCCAUUGAUACUGCCUGGCUGGAAUGCGGAUGACGUGGGAGGAAUGUGUGGUGUAGCGGUGAAAUGCAUAGAUAUCACACAGAACACCGAUUGCGAAGGCAUCUCACGAAUCCGCGAUUGACGCUGAUGCACGAAAGCGUGGGUAUCAAACAGGAUUAGAUACCCCAGUAGUC
rnacentral:rRNA from 1 species